rnacentral:rRNA from 1 species
UACGAAGGGGGCUAGCGUUGUUCGGAAUUACUGGGCGUAAAGGGCGCGUAGGCGGUGUGUCAAGUCAGGCGUGAAAGCCCCGGGCUCAACCUGGGAACCGCGCUUGAGACUGGCACGCUCGAGUUCGGGAGAGGAUGGUGGAAUUCCCAGUGUAGAGGUGAAAUUCGUAGAUAUUGGGAAGAACACCGAUGGCGAAGGCAGCCAUCUGGAUCGACACUGACGCUGAGGCGCGAAAGCGUGGGGAGCAAACAGG